rnacentral:rRNA from 1 species
AGCAGUCGCCGCGGUAAUACGUAGGUAGCAAGCGUUGUCCGGAAUUAUUGGGCGUAAAGGGCACGCAGGCGGUUUCUUAAGUCUGAUGUGAAAGCCCCCGGCUCAACCGGGGAGGGUCAUUGGAAACUGGGAAACUGGAGUGCAGAAGAGGAGAGUGGAAUUCCACGUGUAGCGGUGAAAUGCGUAGAGAUGUGGAGGAACACCAGUGGCGAAGGCGACUCUCUGGUCUGUAACUGACGCUGAGGAGCGAAAGCGUGGGGAGCGAACAGGAUUAGAGACCCCGGUAGUCCCUGUCUCUUAUAC